GACUUCCCCUGGGGGUA
rnacentral:tRNA from 1 species